UAGGGAAUCUUCCGCAAUGGGCGAAAGCUUGACGGAGCAACGCCGCGUGAGUGAUGAAGGUCUUCGGAUCGUAAAACUCUGUUAUUAGGGAAGAACAAAUGUGUAAGUAACUAUGCACGUCUUGACGGUACCUAAUCAGAAAGCCACGGCUAACUACGUGCCAGCAGCCGCGGUAAUACGUAGGUGGCAAGCGUUAUCCGGAAUUAUUGGGCGUAAAGCGCGCGUAGGCGGUUUUUUAAGUCUGAUGUGAAAGCCCACGGCUCAACCGUGGAGGGUCAUUGGAAACUGGAAAACUUGAGUGCAGAAGAGGAAAGUGGAAUUCCAUGUGGAGCGGUGAAAUGCGCAGAGAUAUGGAGGAACACCAGUGGCGAAGGCGACUUUCUGGUCUGUAACUGACGCUGAUGUGCGAAAGCGUGGGGAUCAAACAGG
rnacentral:rRNA from 1 species